GCGAAACUUUAAGAGGGUACAGAUGAGAAAAGAGCUUGCUAAUGCUGACAGACCGCCAGUGGCGAUAAGGAUGGCGUCCGUGGCAGAACUUGGGGUGGCGUACGUACCAGGCUGCUUCCCUAGGCCAGGUGAUUAUAAGUUACCAAUACAGCACUGACAAAGAAAUGAUUUCUGAAUGUAUGAUGCAGUUGGGAAUCUAAAUGCAAAGCUACUGGAAUGUUCUUGAUUAGAAGGAUCCAUCACAUAAAAUGCUCCACUUCUAGCUAGCUCACCUCAGCUUCUCCAGGCCAACCACCUCCAGCCAGAG